GGUGCACACACCGAUCCUGCACAACGCAGCCUUCUCUUCGUUCUCUCGAGCAGCAGCACUAGGAGCCCCGCAGACCCAGCCACCAUGAUCAAGGUUCUGAUCUUCCUCGCCAUGCUGGCCCUCUUCGCUGUGUCGCAGGCUGUGGCCAAGCCGCAGUACUACGUCGCAGAUGGCCUGUACUACGGCUACCCGUAUGCCGCCUACUACGGCGCAUACUACCCUCACUACUACUACGGGCGCUAAGCCUGAGCUCAUGCUGGCGCAGCGACAGUCCGUGGUGAUUUCUUCGAAACCAACCUCAACUCGCUAACGCAUUCAACCGCUCACUACCACUGGAACCCUCGAAGAACUGCCUAGUCAUUUCACCGUAUUGAACUUCGAGCCAAACGCGCACGGACCUGAGCUGUCCUGCGUUCCCCGAGGACACAGCGACGUCCGCAUUUCUAACACCGGGUGUCACUCUAUCUGGUCACUGGGUUCCGAAAUAAAAUGUUUCUAACCAGA